CGCGAGUAUUUUUGCGGAAAGGUUCGCUUUGGAGCAGGAUAAUACCAGCAAGAUAGAGAGCGAAAGAGAGGAGAAGACUGAAAGCCUUUUCAAUAUCCUAUUAUCGUCACGCGCUCGUAUAUUGGAGAGCAGCGAGCACCGUUUUGUCUAAAACCUAGGUUUCCGUUUAACUCCGUUAUUUCGUGUUAUUGUAGUCAUAUGGUGUGAUGUCGGUCUUAUCCUUAUAUUAGCGUCUAGUUUAUGCAUUGUCAGUAAUAUACUACGGCGCCAGUUUACACCUAAAUUAGCCCAGUGUUUUGCACAUUAAUAAGUUUGUGCUAAUUGCUGGUAUAUAUAUACUCAAAGGUCACCCUCGAAGGGAUAGCAUGUCGGUUCCACGAUGUUGUCGAAUGAAUAAUAUUGCUGUAUUUGCCGGGAUAUUAGUUAGUUGUGGCAUAAUAAUCGUCUUGAUACCCGCACCAGCUAGUGCUACGCGCGUCUUCACCAAUUCCUUUCUGGUGGAGUUCCAUGAUGACGUCAGUAAAAGUGAAGCGGACAAGAUUGCUCGGGAACAUGGUUUUGAGAACGCGGGACCGCUGAUGAGAUCCAAACGGGAAUACCACUUCAUUCACCGCGGGCUGCCGGCAAGAUCCAAGCGCAGUAUUCCUCAUCAUCGAAACCUGAAAAGCAACGAAAAGAUAAAACUAGUGGCUCAACAACCUGGAUUUAAACGUUCUAAGCGCGGAUAUGGACCUCUUAUACAUAAAGGUCAGGUUGCACUCGACAAAUCCGCAGAGCCAACCGAUCCUUAUUUCCAGUUCCAAUGGUAUUUGAAAAAUGACGGCAGUCUCGGUGGUAAACCACGCUUGGAUCUCAAUGUGGAAGCUGCUUGGGCACAGGGUGCCACAGGGAAGAAUAUCACUACAGCAAUUAUGGAUGAUGGAAUCGAUUAUCUUCAUCCCGAUCUAAAAUUCAACUAUAAUGCAAAGGCCAGCUAUGACUUCAGCAGUAAUGAUCCAUUUCCGUAUCCCCGCUACACUGAUGACUGGUUCAACAGCCAUGGAACGCGCUGUGCCGGGGAAGUGGCGGCUGCGCGGGAUAAUGGAGUAUGCGGUGUGGGUGUGGCGUACGACAGUAAAGUUGCUGGCAUUAGGAUGCUCGAUCAGCCCUAUAUGACCGACUUGAUUGAGGCCAAUUCCAUGGGCCAUGAACCCAAUCUCAUCGACAUUUACAGCGCAAGCUGGGGUCCCACCGAUGACGGAAAGACGGUGGACGGGCCGCGUAAUGCCACAAUGCGCGCAAUUGUCAAAGGAGUCAACGAAGGAAGGAACGGGCUGGGUAACAUUUAUGUGUGGGCCUCUGGCGAUGGCGGCGAAGAUGAUGAUUGUAAUUGUGACGGAUAUGCUGCCAGCAUGUGGACCAUCUCUAUUAAUUCAGCUAUUAAUAAUGGGCAAAAUGCCCAUUACGACGAAUCCUGCACAUCCACCUUAGCGUCGACGUUCAGCAACGGCGGAGGUGACCCGAAGACCGGUGUCGCCACAACCGAUCUCUAUGGCCGCUGCACCAAGACCCAUUCCGGCACUUCCGCAGCGGCACCGGAAGCAGCUGGUGUUUUUGCUUUGGCUCUCGAAGUCAACCGAAAUUUAACCUGGCGGGACAUCCAACAUCUCACUGUGUUGACGUCAAAGCGGAACUCGCUGUAUGAUGGCAAAGGCUAUUUCAAGUGGCAGAUGAACGGUGUGGGUCUGGAAUUCAAUCAUUUAUUUGGUUAUGGAGUUCUGGAUGCCGGUGCAAUGGUAGCUAUGGCCAAGGACUGGAUUACCGUGCCCCAGCGUUACCAUUGUGAUGGCGGUAAAGUCAACAAAACCUUAUCGAUACCUACCAACGGAUCCCUGACGCUCUUCAUCGAUACCCACGCCUGUCGGGGCACGGAAAACCAAGUCGACUAUCUGGAGCAUGUGCAGGCUGUCAUUACGCUGAAUAGCUCCAGACGGGGUGAAGUGAUAAUGCAUCUGGUUUCACCAAUGGGCACACGGUCGAUGAUCCUCAGUCGCAGACCGAACGAUGACGAUCACACGGACGGAUUUGCCAAAUGGCCAUUUAUGACAACUCAUACGUGGGGUGAAAAUCCACGGGGGCGCUGGAAGCUGGAAAUCAAAUUCAACAGCCCAAACACACAGACUGGCUUCAUCAAGGAAUGGGAUCUAUUGUUGCACGGCACCCGUGAAGCGCCAUACAAAGAUCUAGCUGUGGCUGAUCCUCAUUCUAAAUUGGCUAUUGUUAAGAAAGCUCACGAGGAUCGCCGUUGAGUGGUUGCUGAGCAUCAGAUGUACACGCCGUACAUAGAUCGCCCAUCCGGGAAAGCACAUUCACAAUGUGACCUCGCUGCUAAUUUCCAACGGAUUACUUGCAUACUGUUUUAUCAUCAUUACAGCACUCCAUUCCAAAAGCACACGUCGACAUUAGCGCUAAAUUAAAUCCACCAGAUCAAAAAACCAUUCGGCUUGCCUAAUUCCAGAGUUUUAUAUCGGCUUUUUUGAGUUCAUUUCCGGUUCUCUGUUGACCUUUGCAUCUGCUAGAUUUUUUUUGUUACAAGAGUUUACUUAUUUUAUUAGUCUUUCUUUCGUGGCUGCAUGCAUAUAAGAUCAUGAAGGCAUCUGGUUUUGAUUUGGAACUGACUUUCCAUCUUAUCAACUGAGCUGUUAUGCAUUAUGGGUAGAUCGGCAACAUCGCCUGAACUGACUUCAAAUCGAGAUUAAUUGUACUAUGUAUUAUUUCUUGUAGGAUUUUCUGAUAUGGACUGAGCAUUUUACGUACAGCUUGGACGACCAGUGCUAUAGCUGCGUGUCGACGGUGACGGAGCACCAAAAUAUCUGUCCGGCACCUGGAAAUCGAACGGUGACGUCUUGACCCAGUCUUCAUGCGAAUCCAAAUAGGAUAGCCCUUUAAUGGGCUUCCGCGGCCGCCUAAGGGAAAGAAAAACAUUCACGACACACAGGGAUCCACUUACGGACGAUGCGAAGGAAACAGAUAGUCCUUUACUUCCUCAUACAAACUGGGCUGCACACUGAUCGGUCCGUAGGGCGAUCGGCGCGGAAGGCCCGGAUGAUCGUUCAAGCGUCCCUAAAAACGUCGAACAUUAUACGGAAAUGCAAAGGUCACGGUCACGGAACCAGAACAGAAUUAACAGCAACGUACUGGCUGCAACCUCUGGAUUAGUACGACUUAUGACCGUUAAAAUUUGUGUACCCGGUGCAGUACGUCAUAAUCGUAGUGCAGAUCGUUCAGCGCUUCAUUGUUCCAGCGCGAUCGGCGACUCAGUCGCGCGUUGGAAAAAUUAUCCUUAACGUAAUCAGACACAUAGGGUCUUCCGUUAGUUGCCGGAUAGUACAUGUCCAGCCUAUCCUGCCACGUAUCGGCUUUAGCAUCCCUGGAAUAAAAUCGAGUUGUAAUUCCCACUGCGAUAUACAAAGCAUGUCAGCCAAAAAAGGUUACCGCAUUUUUCU